rnacentral:lncRNA from 1 species
UCUCUUCACAGAUGCACGAAUGUGAACUUUGCGGCUCGAUUACGACUCUCUGAACUCCCAUCGUUCGCUACCGGUCUGGACCGCCGGCCGGCCACUCGAGUGCCCAUCACGUUCGGAGGGUGAAGUGCGACGCUCGUUAACUUCCCUGCGGAUUUGUUUUGUUCUGACCAACUUACAAAUAUAAACAAAUUAUCUUUAAUCAACAAUGCUUGUAGCUUCUAUGAGACCUGAAUUGCAACAUUAUUGUCUAUAAUUAAAUUCUGAAGUCAAACACACUCGUGACAAACGAGUACUUUCUGGGCAUCGAUAUUUUAAAAAUUUAGUACCUUAAAUAUUGCAAUGACUUUAGAGAGUAGAGUAAGCUAAAAUUUUCAUCGUUUUAUCUAUGAUUAAGGAAACUGGUCGGCCCUGAGUGUCGUCAAAGCAGCUGGACGCAUGACUUCUAUAGUAAUAUCCCAGCCGCACGCAAAAUAAUGUUAAUUGGAAGAAUCAUUUCUAUAGAAGCGCUGACUCACCAAUUAUAAAAUAUAUACUCAUUGCCAUAAAGGACUCAUAAAAAACUACCAUAUCAAAAUUCUUAUAACUCUCACAUUUUCUUGCCCAAUUUCAAAUAGCAGAUGUUUACGCAUGGACGGUCAUCGUAAAAUUAAAAUUAGGUCAAUAUGGAC